rnacentral:tRNA from 1 species
GCCCUCCUAGCUCAGUUGGUAGAGCACUUCCAUGGUAAGGAAGGGGUCUGGGGUUCGAGUCCCCAGGAGGGCU